rnacentral:sRNA from 1 species
GUGACGGCUGGGUUGGGACCAGAACGCCGAAGCGGGGUUAGGGGUGGCAGAAAAGCAUCUGCUUUGUAAGACCUACACGAGGUGCAGGAGUGGUUGGGCCUCCCCUCUCCACUUAAGCAAGCGCCCAGACUGAUGGCGAUGGUGAUGGCAGCAGUUACUCGGACAACCCCAGUUAAGCUGCGCUCCGGGAGUGACUUCCGUUUGUGGAGCCUAAGUGUUUCUACAGAAUCCAACUCAAAUAUCAAGGACUAUGAUCAGAAUGCUUUCAAGGAGUUUUUGGGCACAUGAUGGCAGGUA